UACGUAGGCAGCGAGCGUUGUUCGGAGUUACUGGGCGUAAAGCGUGCGUAGGCGGUGUCUUAAGUUUGUUGUGAAAUCUCCCGGCUUAACCGGGAGGGUGCGGCGAAUACUGAGAUGCUGGAGUGCCGGAGAGGUAAGCGGAAUUCCUGGUGUAGCGGUGAAAUGCGUAGAUAUCAGGAGGAACACCUGCGGUGUAGACGGCUUACUGGACGGUAACUGACGCUGAGGCACGAAAGCGUGGGUAGCGAACAGG
rnacentral:rRNA from 1 species